GGAGGUGUGGAAGCUGUAGGGAGGGGGGGUGGCCCAGAGGGAGUGACCAGGAGGCAGAGAGCCCCACUCCCAGCCAGUGGGGUGCACACCCCUUGCACAUCCCAGGCGGCUCCCUUGCCCAGGGCCCCUACACUGACACAAGACUGUGUGAGGUGGGGAGGGGCCUGGGGCUGCCUGCAGGUUGCUCUUCUGAAUUCAAGUGAAGUUUGGGGAAAACACUUGGAUACAAAACAGGAGAGGAGCCCUUUUACCUACAGUUUUUGAGGUUUUUAACGCAACUCACUCCCCUCAGUACAGCACAUAGGAUAGAUGUACCCACAUUACACAUGGGCGAGCUCAUGGGGAGCUCAUAGGAGACUUCAGGGUGGGAGACAGGAGCCUGGAUGUGUCCAGAAAUGACUGAGGCACACGGUGUGGGCAGAGAGAGCCAACCCUGGUGUCCUACCACCUUCCUCCUGUCACCUACAGCUCCCGCAGGAACCGCCUCCUGGCCCACAGCAGCAGAUUCCAGCCAUCACACACAUGCUCCACACCUGACUGCGAGGAAGAGAUGGAGAAUGGCUGCUCCUCCCUUCCAGAUCUGCCCAGGAAUUCCAGUGGCCCCCUGCUCACCACUUAGUCCUGUACCCACCCUGGGAUGUGCAGGAGCCUGGGAGAAAAAGCUUUUUUAGAUGCCCAGCCCAGUGAGUUCCUGGUCUCUUACAGAAAAAGAAGAAAGACAUGCAUCAAGAUGAUCCCUGGUUUCUAGGACAGUGACACCCAGGGAUUUGGGAACCUGAGACAGCCCACAGGAAAAGCAAGUUUUUCUGAAAGACACAGGACAAUGAACC